CCUGCUGGUGAUGGGAGAUAAACUGUUGGACAUGUGGACAAAAGGAGAGCAAGAAAAACAUUUCUGUGUGGAUCAAGAGAGGGAAUCACGGCAGCACAAACACAUUUCACAUUCAAUUGAAGAAAUACUAAGAAGACCGAUCAGAAAAGAGGAAAGAGUUUAUCGAAGCUGGUCUGUUAUUAAAGAAAACACUGAGGUACAUAACCAGCUCUCUUACACAGAUUCCUCACAGAAAAAUCAUGAAGAAUCUCCAAAAUCUGCCACAGAAACCAAAAGUCAGAAGAGGAAAAGACAAACCAGGGUGACAUUCACGCCGAUCCAGGUUCAGGAGCUGGAGGCGGUUUUCCAACAGACUCACUAUCCCA